rnacentral:lncRNA from 1 species
UCUCCUGUAGUUCCUCGUGUCCGCUUGAGAGGAGUAAACUGCUCUUUCAGAAAUAGCUGAGAACACAUAAAAAAUGCUUUCCUGUGGGCAACAGAUAAUCCCGUUUUGAAGGACAUUAAAUCUGAUGAAUUUGCAUGUAGCACACCGGUAUGAGCAAACAUGACGUAUUCUCAGGGCGGUGCCACGUGCUAUUGGCCAAUGAAUUGGCAUGAUGGUAUAAAGGCUUCAAACAUUCGGCACACCAAAGGUGUUCCCAUAGUGCUGACGCUAUCGCAGUAAACCUAAGAAAAGGAACCUUUUAUUAUAACUGAGAUUUUCUUACUCUGCUGUAAAACAGCCUUGUCCACUAAGCUGGUUUACGUUGGUCAGGUGGUCUGGUUUUAUGGUUUUAAAGAAGUUUUAGCCACAUUUUCUGCUGUCCAACCAACUCAAACCAGCAAACCAAGUCAAGAUGGUUCUCAGCAGGUUGUUUAUAGUCUAAAUGGUAACAAAUAUAAUUGGACACUAGUAACUCAUCUACUAUAACUUAAUGAAAACACUUGUGAUUUAUUAUUGAAUAAAUUCUUGUGGUUUGAAUGUGAAAGUUCAGUGAUCUUGUGGCAUGAUGCCGCAUUUGCUCCCUGCAGAAGAGUUGUAGAGAUGUAUCUGCGAGUCUCCAUUUUUCUUUUCAUUCUUCUCACUGGAGGAUUCGGUCUAGUCUGUUAUGAUUGCCAGGGCCCAAAAGGAAUUACUUGUGAAAAAAAUACGACAUGUGAUGAUGAACAAAGCAUGUGUAUAACUAAAAGAAUAAUAGAAUAUAGCAGCUCAGAAUAUGGUGACAAAGUGGAAGAGACCAUAGAGAGAAGUUGUGCCACAACAUAUGACUGUGAAAUCUGGUACAUUACAACAGGCAAUUCUUUCCAGUGCUGCGACACCGACUUGUGCAAUGAACAAGAUGACAUAGAUUUCUCAUACUCUUAUUAUGAUAAUGUUGCUUAUUAUGAUCAUGAUGAGAAGAAAUGUUUCACUUGUGAUGAGGAGGACUGCUCAGACAUACAGAGUUGUGUGGAGGAUGAAGACUACUGCUUUACUGCAAAGGGUGAGAAAAGCAAUAGAAGAAAAUUAAAAUAAAUGUUUUGACAUUACAAAUUUUCCCUUGUCAAUGCACCUUUGUACUUUUGUAUUACCAUAAAAGCAUGAAGUAGAAAUCAGAGGUAUUAUUUCUUAUUUCUUUUUAUUCAUUUAUAACAAAGAGAAUUCCCUAAUGACAGAGCCAGUGUAGACUGUUUUUGCCGUGUCUCCUCUGCUUGUUUUUAUUUAUUUCAUCUGUUUUCUUUCUUUUCUCUAGGAAAUCAACCAAACACUGUAAAAGGAUGUGCCUCCAAAUACAUCUGUGAUUGUCCGCUAAAAUGGCUAGGACCUGGCUAUAUCACAUGUUGUGAGGGUAACCUGUUUAACGGCACUCAGAGCGUCACUCAGAGCUUCAUGUUCCUCUGCUAUUCUCUGCUCUCCUUCAUCCUGCUGCACUGAAUCCAGCAGCAAAGACCCUCCACAUCAGCCAGAAUGUAAUGAAUGACUGUGUGUCAAUCAAAAUAAAGCAUUCAUUUUCUAAGAUCAGUUGGUUAUCUUUUAGUCCAUGAUGUAAGAACGUCAAAAAUACAUUGGGGUCUAAACCACACAUUGAAAAUGCAGAAUAAUAAUAAAAAAAUAAAAAUAGACUUUUGGACCAUGCAUAUUGAAAUUGUCAUAUGUCAUUUGCAUAUAUCCAGACAUGAUAUUCAGUUAUUGGAGUGCAGUAAAUAUUUGAUUAUGUAAUUAUAUAAAAAAGUUAUUUUUUCAAAUGUUUGAAAUACAACAUUAAAAUAAUCCUAACACAUUUAGCAGUUGCCAAGUUGCCCUUGUGCAGACACUUACAAGAAACCAAGUUUGUUUUUCCAACACAGUGAAACCCACAAAACCACUGACAAACAUUAACAUUAUGAUAACUUAACUUAGGCACACUGCAGUAUAUACUGAGAUAAUGAUGAUUAUUAACCCUAAUCAAAGCAUUAAACCAAAACUUCUCAUAAUUUUUUUUGCAUUUUUCCUUUUUUAGUAAAAGUUGGUUUAGUAUGUUUAUUAGGUCAUUUGAGUUAGGGAGGCAAUGUCAUGUCUUCAUAAUGUAGCAAAAAAUGAAUACGCCUACAUUAAGAAACAUUUUUGGUGGCAUAAGUAGGUCAAAGCAGUGCAGAUUUCACACAUAUGCAUCUGCAUUGGCCUAAACACACAGGUGCUUUUAUGUAGUUGGACUUUCCACUGACUUCUUCUGAGCCUAAAUUUAGUCAUCCUCUUCUCCUAAAGCUUUAACGUUACAACCACCAAACUCGGGUCAGACCUUCAGACUGGUCUGACGUUGGUUGUUAUAUCUUUUCUACGGUUUCUAAAAACAAGACAUUCAAAAUCACCCAAAAUCCCUUAGACUUUCAUUGAGAGGGUGACAACUUUUAUGCAAUGAGACUUAUAGUGUUUUAAGCUGUCUAUUACUAUAGAAAAACUUAAUAACUCCCUACUGAAAAAAAAGAUAAAACCAGCCUAAAUUGUUGGCUGCUUUGACUGUUCUUAGCUGGUUAAGUUGAGAGAUCUGCCUAAAGACCAAGCUAGCUUAAACCAGCUGAGGCUAGCUUAGGCUUGUUUUAGCUGGUCUUAUAUGUUUUUUUCUUUGCUAAAUCAGCAGGUUUUUUUUUUUUUUUUUUGUUAAAUCAGCAGGGUUUUAGCUGGUUUUCAGCUGGUUUUUUAGUAGUUGUUCUUGCUACAGCUGGUUUUAGCUAUUUUUGCCAAUUGAAUUUGUUUUAGCUGGGUUUUUAGCCAAGGAACCGCAUAGCAACACCUUAGCAAAAACCUCUAGUACCCUAGCAACUGCAUAGCAACACUUUAAAACAUGCUAGCAAUAUGUUAUUUUAUUCUACACACAUGCUAGUUUCACGUUAAAUAAUGUUAGCAAUGUGCUAAUUCAUGUUAAAUCAUGCUAACAACAUCCUACUUUAUGUAACAACAUGCUAAAUAAUUUAGCAUCAUGUGAAAUCAUGUUAAAAUGUUAAUUCAUGCUAAUUUAUGCCAACAACAAGCUAAAUCAUUGUAGCAUCAUGCAAAUUCAUGUUCAUUCAUUUUAGUAACAUGCUAAUCGUUAAAAACAUGAUAAUUAAUUUUAGACACAAUAAUCAUGUUAGCAAAAUUAUGCUAAUAAAAUGCUAAAAACAUAAUAUUAGCAUGUUUCCAAUGUGUUAAAGAUGCCAUAUGAUGCUGCUAAAAAGAACCAAAUUUUGGUUUAUUUGGUGUAAUGAAAUGUAUUUAUGUGGUUUAAGGUGAAAAAAAUAUUUGGGUUAAUCUGUUCUGGAACUGUGUUGAAAAUACAACUUAACCACCUAUUUCUAGUUGUGUCCUGUUUUGCAAGGCCGGACAAAAUAGUUUCACUUUCACAACGAGGGAGUUGGACCCUGGGCUGGACUGUGCUUCGUCCACAGUGAACUCCACAGCGUGAAGUAGAUGUAAUUCCUCAGCUGUAUUUUCCUGAACCAAGAGCUUAACACUCCAAAGAGAAAGAAAAUUUUAAAUUGCAUCAUAUGAUCGCUUCAAAUCAUGUUAUCAACGUGUUAAAUCAUGUUUGCAAUGUCCUAAAUCAUACUAGCAACAUACUAAUCAUGCUAUCAAUAUGAUAGCAACAUAGUACUCAUGCUAAAAAAAAGCUAAAUCAUAUUAGCAGUGUGGUAAAAAAUGCUGGCACUGUGUUAAAUCAUGUUAACAACACCUUAAAUGAUGCUAACCGCACAUUAGCAAAGUGCUAAAUCUUGACAGCAACAUGUUAAAUCAUGUUAACAACGUGCUAAUCAUGUUAACAACAUGCUCAAUCAUGCUAGCAACAUGUUAAAUCAUGCUAGCAAUGUGCAAAAUCAUAAUAACAGCAUGCCAUCAAUGUGCAAAGUCCUCUAUCUAUCUAUCUAUCUAUCUAUCUAUCUAUCUAUCUAUCUAUCUAUCUAUCUAUCUAUCUAUCUAUCUAUCUAUCUAUCUAUCUAUCUAUCUAUCUAUCUAUAUGUCUGUCUGUC